rnacentral:rRNA from 1 species
UACGGAGGGUGCAAGCGUUAUCCGGAUUCACUGGGCUUAAAGGGUGCGUAGGUGGGUUGGUAAGUCAGUGGUGAAAUCCCCGAGCUUAACUUGGGAACUGCCAUUGAUACUAUUAAUCUUGAAUACCGUGGAGGUCGGCGGAAUAUGUCAUGUAGCGGUGAAAUGCUUAGAUAUGACAUAGAACACCAAUUGCGAAGGCAGCUGGCUACACGAGUAUUGACACUGAGGCACGAAAGCGUGGGGAUCAAACAGG